GGGCCCGCACAAGCGGUGGAGCAUGUGGUUUAAUUCGAUGCAACGCGAAGAACCUUACCUACUCUUGACAUCCAGAGAAGCUUGAAGAGAUUCGAGUGUGCCUUCGGGAACUCUGAGACAGGUGCUGCAUGGCUGUCGUCAGCUCGUGUUGUGAAAUGUUGGGUUAAGUCCCGCAACGAGCGCAACCCUUAUCCUUGUUUGCCAGCACUUCGGGUGGGAACUCCAGGGAGACUGCCGGUGAUAAACCGGAGGAAGGUGGGGACGACGUCAAGUCAUCAUGGCCCUUACGAGUAGGGCUACACACGUGCUACAAUGGCAUAUACAGAGGGCAGCAAGACCGCGAGGUGGAGCGAAUCCCAGAAAGUAUGUCGUAGUCCGGAUCGGAGUCUGCAACUCGACUCCGUGAAGUCGGAAUCGCUAGUAA
rnacentral:rRNA from 1 species